rnacentral:rRNA from 1 species
CAGCAGCCGCGGGAAUACGUAGGGUGCAAGCGUUAAUCGGAAUUACUGGGCGUAAAGCGUGCGCAGGCGGUUCGCUAAGACAGAUGUGAAAUCCCCGGGCUUAACCUGGGAACUGCAUAUGUGACUGGCGGGCUAGAGUAUGGCAGAGGGGGGUAGAAUUCCACGUGUAGCAGUGAAAUGCGUAGAGAUGUGGAGGAAUACCGGUGGCGAAGGCAGCCCCCUGGGCCAAUACUGACGCUCAUGCACGAAAGCGUGGGGAGCAAACAGGAUUAGAUACCCGUGUAGUCCCUGUCUCUUAUAC